GAAUCACACAUGGUACAAACAGCAGAGUUGGAGGUCCAUAUGCAUUUUCCUCUUCAUUUUGCCCAUGUAUCUCACUCAUACAACAUUAGUGAAGCUUUUAAAGUUAUUUACUUCCUGCCUUCAAGACAUGGCUGAAAUUAUCCAUGCUGGAUGUCUGCCUGAUUCACUAUAUAUCUUCCAACUUUGGCAAAAAAUGAGGCAUGGAUCCUACAGACAACAACCUCCUUCACUGCACAACCCUGAUUCAUCCCCAGAGCCCCACCCAUCCUCUGGGCUGAAUGAGGCAGGGAAAGAUAGGUUGUGCCUUUGUCUCAGUGUUCGAGUUAGCAAAAUGUCCAUGGAAAUGAAUUGAAUUGAAGAGUAUCUGCAUAGUAUAUCCUUUGCAAUAGACAAGAG